rnacentral:rRNA from 1 species
GACGAACGCUGGCGGCGUGCUUAACACAUGCAAGUCGAGCGGAAAGGCCCUUCGGGGUACUCGAGCGGCGAACGGGUGAGUAACACGUGAGUAACCUGCCCCAGACUUUGGGAUAACCCUCGGAAACGGGGGCUAAUACCGGAUACGACACAGCUUCGCAUGGGGUCUGUGUGGAAAGUUUUUCGGUUUGGGAUGGGCUCGCGGCCUAUCAGCUUGUUGGUGGGGUGGUGGCCUACCAAGGCGACGACGGGUAGCCGGCCUGGGAGGGCGACCGGCCACACUGGGACUGAGACACGGCCCAGACUCCUACGGGAGGCAGCAGUGGGGAAUAUUGCACAAUGGGCGGAAGCCUGAUGCAGCGACGCCGCGUGAGGGAUGACGGCCUUCGGGUUGUAAACCUCUUUCAGCAGGGACGAAGCGUAAGUGACGGUACCUGCAGAAGAAGCGCCGGCCAACUACGUG